GGACCCGCACAAGCGGUGGAGCAUGUGGUUUAAUUCGAAGCAACGCGAAGAACCUUACCAAAUCUUGACAUCCCGAUGACAGAGACGUAAUAGUCUCCUCUCUUCGGAGCAUCGGUGACAGGUGGUGCAUGGUUGUCGUCAGCUCGUGUCGUGAGAUGUUGGGUUAAGUCCCGCAACGAGCGCAACCCUUAUUGUCAGUAGCCAGCAUUCAGUUGGGCACUCUGACGAGACUGCCAGGGAUAACCUGGAGGAAGGUGGGGAUGACGUCAAAUCAUCAUGCCCCUUAUGAUUUGGGCCACACACGUGCUACAAUGGCGUAAACAAAGAGAAGCAAAAGCGCGAGCCGGAGCGAAUCUCAAAAAUAACGUCUCAGUUCGGACUGUAGUCUGCAACCCGACUACACGAAGCUGGAAUCGCUAGUAAUCGCAGAUCAGAAUGCUGCGGUGAAUACGUUCCCGGGUCUU
rnacentral:rRNA from 1 species